rnacentral:rRNA from 1 species
UACAGAGGUCUCAAGCGUUGUUCGGAUUCAUUGGGCGUAAAGGGUGCGUAGGCGGCGCGGUAAGUCGGGUGUGAAAUCUCGGAGCUUAACUCCGAAACUGCAUUCGAUACUGCCGUGCUUUGAGGACUGGAGAGGAGACUGGAAUUUACGGUGUAGCGGUGAAAUGCGUAGAUAUCGUAAGGAAGACCAGUGGCGAAGGCGGGUCUCUGGACAGUUCCUGACGCUGAGGCACGAAGGUCAGGGGAGCAAACGGGG